CCCAAAUGGGGUGUAUUUGUGAGGGUGAGGAGUGGCUGGUGGCAGCUGAGAUCUCUAAUAACAUGGAGAUUUCAUAGGAAGAGUCUUUAUCCGGAAGUCAGCCAGAAGAUAGAGUGAAAUUAGGCUUCAAAUUCCUGUGGUCAACUGGAGUUGGAAAACAGAUGAGCCUCCUUCUGACAUCUUUGGAGGAUCAGCCUCAGAGGUAUCAGGUAGUGGGAGACAGACCAGGGAGAGAUGUCACAACUCCAGUGAGCAUCUUCCCAAUUGAGAAGUUUGAACACAGAGUUGGGAUCUUCAGUACAGACGCCGACAAAUAGUUCGUGAUUCAACAGAGCAGAAGGGAUUCAUCGUCCCAGGUUGUUAUCUAUCUGCUCUGGAUUAAAGAUGGCUAAACUUUUUUCUCUCCAGAAAAGAAUAUUUUUCUUUCUUUUGUUUCCUCCCAACUCAAAUUUGAACUUCCCUGGCUAUUUUUCAGGAAUUCGUCUACUGUUCUACUCUAACAGGUCUAAACAGAAUUUUUUUCAACAAAACAUAAAGGCAUGUGAGCUCAGGUAGAAAGGUUAUGAGGGGAUGAGCUUACAGGAGCAGAAAAACUUAAUAUCACUGAAGUUACUUCCAACAAUGAAAACGAGAGAAAGUUUGGCAUGUGCUAAUUAAGGAAUUUGAUAUGUGUGAAUUUGUUUCCAAUUAUGAGAUCUGAGUCUAAUAAUGAAUUCUUUGAACCUGUUUCCAAAGUAACAUAUUUGGUUCUAUAAUAAAAUCUCAUAGCAAUGCCUAAAUAAAAAUAAUUUGCAACCUUCACGCUAGUGAGAGGAAAAAUGUCAAAGAAGGCACACCACAUGCUCUCAAUGGAAAAAUAAUUUAAAAAGCAACAUUUAACACUGUAAGAAUCUGAGAGAAACUCAUGAUAUAACUUCAUGGGAAAUAAGAAUAAAAGAAAGUAUAUCUCUCCUAUAGAUUAGACAGUAAGAAAAUAAAAGAAUUUCAGCAGGUGGGAUGAUAAAAUCAUGAGUGCAUUUUUCUUUAUUUUGAUGUCUCUUAAUAUUGUAUUUUUGCCACUAUCAGUAGACAUUAUGUGAUUUAAAAUAAACAGUUCAUGCUGAUGGGUCUGUGGAAGCAGUAGUAGUCACGUCAAUGAGAGGAGAAUACGAUAUUUGUUUUGUUAAUUGUUUAACAUGUUGGUGGGAGAAAUGUUGCUUGAUCAGAACUUUCUGUCCAUCUACAUCUAAGCUAUACGUGGGAAACAGGGGAGACACUCAGCAGGAAACAGAUAGCAAACCCAAAGUGAACAGUUGAGGAAAGUUUGAUAGACUAUUUACAAAGGUGAAGGCAAGGCUUAUGGCAGUCCGGGGGUGGGGAUGGGGGGGGUAGUAGAGAGAGAGCUGUCAUCACCCCUGGGCCUGAAGGAACAAGGAUGAAGUAGUCACAGGGCCCCAGUUUGGGCUACCAAUGAGAAGUAGCUUCUGAAGGAGGGAGACAACGAAUGCGCAGGAUGCUGUGAAGGGAGCAGGGAGGCUCAGGAAAUAGACACCCCAACCUCCCAUUCCUCCUGCCCUCCUCAGCUCCCGUGGAUGCCUCCUAAUCAUCCACCCCAACCAAAGCCAGAGGAUAAGGGAGAUAGUGGGUGCACGGCAGCUUCCCAGGCCCGAGGCGGGCUAGAGAAGUGUGGAAGUCGGAUCUGGAGAAAAAGUGGAAGAGAAGUGGAACCAGGGGCUCUACAGCAGUGCAGAAACAGAGCUGUGCAUUUACACAAGGGGGCACAUGAGGGCUCGUGCUAAGUGCUUCAGGCUAAUGCUAAUGAAGAAAAAUAUGGCCAAAGGCAUUUCUGAAAACCUGGAGCAUUGCAUAAACAUGUUUAUUUCUCCUUAUGUGCG